rnacentral:rRNA from 1 species
GACGAACGCUGGCGGCGUGCCUAAUACAUGCAAGUUGAGCGCUGAAGGUUGGUACUUGUACCGACUGGAUGAGCAGCGAACGGGUGAGUAACGCGUGGGGAAUCUGCCUUUGAGCGGGGGACAACAUUUGGAAACGAAUGCUAAUACCGCAUAAAAACUUUAAACACAAGUUUUAAGUUUGAAAGAUGCAAUUGCAUCACUCAAAGAUGAUCCCGCGUUGUAUUAGCUAGUUGGUGAGGUAAAGGCUCACCAAGGCGAUGAUACAUAGCCGACCUGGGAGGGUGAUCGGCCACAUUGGGACUGAGACACGGCCCAAACUCCUACGGGAGGCAGCAGUAGGGAAUCUUCGGCAAUGGACGAAAGUCUGACCGAGCAACGCCGCGUGAGUGAAGAAGGUUUUCGGAUCGUAAAACUCUGUUGGUAGAGAAGAACGUUGGUGAGAGUGGAAAGCUCAUCAAGUGACGGUAACUACACAGAAAGGGACGGCUAACUACGUG